UACUGGUGCUGGUCAACCGAAUCAGAACCCACAACGCCCGCAGACCAGCCUGACACAUCGUGUGCAAAAUGAUCGGACGCACGAAUUGCAGUGCGAGAACGAAGGUGUUAAAUCUGGACUUUUAAAAGUGUGGCUGUGCUGCGAUGACGUCACACGUGUUGGUUAUAAGCGGAAUCGUAAAAAUAAGAGUUUACUGGUACGGUUCAGCCGCCAUUGGUUGUAAACGAGGGGAAUUGCUGUAAAUGACCACUUGGCAUCGAAAUAAGCUGUAACCGGAAAGCACGUAAAAUAUCUGGCCACCCUACAGAGGCCUCCAGCGCUGAUGCCGGCUGCUACUACUGCCGUUUUGAUUGUCUGCUACGUUUGCAUCUUUUCUUCAGCGAGGACAGCCGCUGUGCUUUCUCCGCAGCCCGGAUAUUUCCAGGAGCACGCUGACAAGCAUCCUGCGACGGGAAUCGGUUUAACUCGCACGGCCCCCGUGAGACACACGCAUCGCCCCCCCCCCCUCUUUCGACUCUCUUGGGUACAGUCUGAACCGUCACAGCGAGGAAGAAGCCGAAAAAUUACUUUUUAGCACAGCCUAUGUAGUUUUAUGCAUUCAUUCCCCACUGUUUUUUUUUUUACUGUAUUUCGCUAUGGUGAUUCACGAAGAAACAAGGUAACAGGUACAACGGCGCAGAGCCCUGCAUCAUUUUUGUACCAAGCACAGGGCGUCACGCUGUUAUCUAUUGAUUGACUUACGUAAUGAUAACCUUCCCUGGCGUGCGUGUUAAAUUUGCAUUAAUUUGUACUUGUCACCGGCACUUUAUUAUAGCCUGGGUGACUGCUUUUUGUAUGAACUACUGCGGCCUUGUAAACGAUUCGCCAGAAUUGCAUUGAACUUGCAUUCAAUAUAAGUAUAGACUUAAUUUCACCGUUAACUAACUAUACAGUUGGGAGUACAAUCAUUUUCGCCUUAAACACUUUUUUCAUAGAUAAUAAAUGGCGGCGCACUUAGCACUGAAUGAGCGAAGGGACAGUUUUAACCUUACUGUGCUAUCCUAACAGUUGUGUACAAUAAUCUCACCGGAAGUAGUACAUUGGUUUAGCUCAAAUUAAAUUGAGCCCUCUUCUUGAGGGUUAGGGGACUCGUUCUUAGACGUGUAACUAUGAAAUCAGUUUGUUUAAUUGACCAUUCAGGCUUAAACAAUUGUGCCAGACCCACCCAGAGGAACUUUGUGUGAGAGCCCCGAUUUAUGGAGAGCUGCUAGACCAGCCUGCUAGACGAGGGACGUGCCCUCGAAGACGGGAUUUGGGGACUUCUGGCCCUGAAGGGCGCCAGGAAGACUUUAUUUACUCGUGCUCAUUCCUUCGCUUGCUCCUGUUGUAAUAAGUGGUCCAACGGCGUCGUCAUUCUCAUUUGCGACCUUUUCUUUUUCUGCCUGCGGGAAACGCGCGGGCCUCUACCGUUGUCCUGGCAUGCAAACGGCUUCUUUUUGUUUCUCAGAAAAGAUUUGAAUUUCUGGCACGGGCGAAGCUCGAGGAGCGGCGGGUAAUCUGCAGUCUCGCCAGUUCUAACUAACCUCCGAGAGCACCGGCUUCGAGUUUGUCUGGGAAGCUGAAGCCCUCGGGGGGCCCUGUCAUUUACGUUUCUACGCACACCCAUGAUCAAGCCUGUAUCACCUUAGUCAUGCAGAUGACCUAAUCAGAAAAGGAGAAAUUAAGAACAGGAAAUGAACAGGAAAUGUUGUGGAAUCAUCACGCUGGGAUCUUUUUCAUUUUGAUCCAACUAAUCCAGAAGCCCGCUUCUUGAGAGUUGAAUGAAAGCGUGGAUGCCAUCAACACCAGUCGUCACAGCUCCGCAGUAGAUGUGAAUGGUGCUUCAGUGAUUCCCUGGUACUUCUUGGCGACUUUUGUUACUUUUAAUUUUUCUGAACCCGUCAGCCAAUGCCUGCUUACCAUUGUGGCUCCCUGAUCUAACACAACAGCCAGGUCCAUUUCCGCCCUCAGCAAUCAGAAGCACAAACUCCUAGCCCACCGGGAAGAAGAUUAUUGCAGUGAAGAACCCUAACCAGGAGAAGUUCCCCGGAAACAUCAGUUUCGUCUCCCUACAUUGCUGUACUGUAUGUCACACACAGUGCAGCCUCUGGCGUGGGGUUCAGCGAGUCCUCUUUGGCGAAGCAGUCAGCGGUGGCCGGGACUCAUGGGGGAGAAUCCAGGAAUUCAUGUUUUUCUGUGCCCUGCUUGUCUGGAAGCCGGCUGCAGCCCCAGCCGCCGGCUGGAGCAGUGAGUCAGCUGGAGCCAUGAGGUCGACAGAGAGGCACUCAUGGAAGGUCACAGGUCACCUGGCAGGAAGUGAUGUCACAGAGGAUAAAGGCUGGCAAUUCCAGGGAAACACAUUUUCCUAAAACACAUUUACUCACAUUUUUAGGCUGGGCUAGCUGACAAAGCACAGACACCCCUUGCUUAGAAGCUGCAGAAAAGGCAACUCCAUGAUGGGAAAAACAGAGGCAGGGGAGGGGUUCUAACAGAAUCCAGUGCAGGAGCAAGAAGAAUCGUUUAGUUUGAUCUCAGAAAAUUUCAUCACACCUCCCAGCAGUUUGAAUUUUUAAAAAUGGCUUUCAGAAGCACCAUUCCCCACGAAUGCACACAAGCCCCAAAGGAGAGAGAAAGAUCUUUAUUUUUUUUCAGCUUGCCAGCCACUGUAGGUCAUGCACAGGUCACUGGCCAGCACAGACUGCAGCCUGUGUGGAUCUUGUGCAAGAAGGAGCAGCGAGGUCGCCCAGAGGGCGGAGAGGUGUGGUGCUGGGGAGGGUGCUUCGCAGCUGGGGGGGCAGGAGGGAGGGGUCAUGGGGCAGUAGUGGGAGAGUUCUUGUGGAUUCAUUGCCUAUCCAGACCUCUCUGACCUUCAGAGCACCCUGCCUGGAGUGGAAGGAGGUGGGAGGUUUUACAGAAGGGCUGAAUAUGGCUGCCAUCUCUCGGGGGGGUUAGGGGGGUAACUCAGGAUGGCCACAAGGCAGGCCAAAUUUCUCUGCAGGCUCCUGGCUCCUUAAAAAAAACAAGAGUUAUCAAGCUAUGAAUGAUCAGGGAGCAAGUUUUAUUUGACAUGGAGGUUACUGAGUGCUGGUGGCCUUAGCUGAGCUUCAUGUAUUAUGUGUCUGCCUCUCUUUAGUUUUUCACUUCUGCUGGGGGUGAUUUCUGAAGGCUGUGUGUAGGUGACAAGUAGAGUAACAAUCAAGGAGGCCUAUUGGAUGGUUAAUUAGCUAAUUGGAUCAGGGGAUCUAUUCCAGCCAUUUCUAGAAGGAAUCCAGGGUAUCGGCUUCAACAACAUAGCUCAGUCAGCUGUUCCACACCCCCACCACCCUUUGUGUAAAGAAGUACCUCUGACACUCAGUUUAAGAUGCACUUCCCUGUAGUUUCCACUGCUGCCCUCAGGUUUGUGUUGCACUACUGAUUCUGAAGAAAUCCAUCAGGAUUUUUCAGUGCCCUGUCAGAUUUUGAAUUUGGAGGAUGAAGAAACAGCAUACAAGCACAUACAGGGAGAUAACGGUUUGCAUUUUUUUAAAGUAAUACUUAAUGAGUCAACCCAAUCCAGGAUGGUAGCUACUUAAGCCACAAUGUUUACCCAGGGCUCGUCCAGCUGGCAGUCUGUCCCGUUGUCCUGUCUGUGAAAACAGCCUCUGCACAGCUUCUAGCAGUGGCGCUUGUGUUUGUAAACAGUAAAAAAAAAAAUAAAGAAAAAACCGUCAACCACGCCUUCGAUGAAUUUCCACAUUUCCCGUGCGUGGCGGUCUCUUCCUCUC